rnacentral:rRNA from 1 species
UCCGCCGAACGAGAUUAAAAAAGAUUAAGCGGAAGAAAAGAAAAUAAAUAAAUGAUUCCUUUAGUAAUGUCGAAUGAAAAAGGAAAAGCUCAAGAGGAAAAUCCUGAAUAGAUGUUUUCCAGCUAUUUCCAGGAAUUGUCUUGUUUAUAUGAUAUUUUUCCAUAGUAACUAAAUUUUUUUUCCGAAAAAAAAAUUCUUAGUCCUUAACCAAAAUAAAAACUGAAUAUGUUUUACCACAGAGGGUGAGAGUCCCGUAGGUUAUUACUAAGGCAUGAUAUAGUUACUUGGAAUUUUAUCUUUAGAGUCGUGUUCAUAAAGUAUAUCAACACCAAUAUGUAUGACUUUUUUCAUAUAAAGCUAAAUAUUUAUAGGAGACCGAUAGCAAACAAGUACCGUAAGG